UGACAGGGACCGGCGCUGUGGCCAAGUAGUUAGGUUUGCGCCCUCUGCUUUGGAGGCCCAGGGUUUUGCCGGUUCAGAUCCUGGGCGCGGACCUAGCACCGCUCAUCAGGCCAUGCUAGGG
ensembl:miRNA